UCGAUGGCAUAAGUGGUUAGAGCGUCUGCCUCAAAUGCAAGAGGUCGCGGGUUCGAACCCCGGCUAGGUCAU